rfam:Candidatus Aenigmarchaeota archaeon CG1_02_38_14 cg1_0.2_scaffold_4408_c, whole genome shotgun sequence.
AAUCUAGGUCAAAGAUUCUGUUUGGCGGAUGGUUAGGUUUCGGUAGAGAUGAAGGACGUGGUAAGCUGCGAAAAGGUUGAGGUAGGCGCACGCAGCCUUUGAUCUCAACAUCUCUCAAUUGGAAAUCCUGCCUCUCGGGGCAUUCCGAAAGGAAGUCUGACGCGGGGAAUUGAAGCAUCUUAGUACCCGCAGGAAGAGAAAUCAAACGAGAUGCCGUUAGUAAAGGCGAUUAAAAGCGGCAUAGGGCAAACCGAACUUCUGAUGAAAGUCAGUAAGGAUGUGGAGUUAAAGGACUUGGGCCUUCCCUAACUUGUUAGCUUAAAGUUCUCUGGAAAGAGAUACCAAAGAGGGUGAUAGUCCCGUAGAGUAAAGCAAGAAGGGAAAUGCCAAGUAUCCUGAGUACCGGUCUUUAAAUAUAGAUCGAGAAUUUGGGUGGCAUUGACAUCCAACCCUAAAUAUAACCGAAGUCCGAUAGUGAAUUUAGUACCGCGAGGGAAAACUGAAAAGUAUCCUUAACGGGAGAUGAGAAGAGCCUAAAGCCAAACAGAUAUAGACAGUUGCGGCAUGAAAGUUAAUCAAUGUUGCAACAUCCGUUUUGAAAUUAGAGUAAGGUGAAAAACUUUAUACAAUAUUUUUUGUAUAAUAUUAAUGGUGACAAUGACAGAAAUUACGAAUGAGAUUGCAUAUUUAGUGGGUUUUAUACUAGGAGAUGGUGAUUUUUCUCUUAUAUCAAUCCAUGGAAAAAACCAAUGUAAAAUAUUUUCCGAAAAAGUGGGGUUUAAACACCCAUCUAAAAGUAUAAAGUUGAAAAACCUUCUCUAACAAAAGGAAUGGGUCAGGGAGUUUAUUCCAGUGGUGAGGUGAAAGCCUUAGCGAAAGCGAUAUGAGCGUAGCUUGCGUGGCUCAGGGUAUGAUAAGUGCCUAUAAAUCACUGGGAUAAGACCCGAAGUCUGUUGAUCUAACCCUUGGCAGGUUGAAGUCUGGCGAAAGUUGGAUGGAGGACCGUUACCGGUGAUGAGGACCAAUCUCUCGGGUGACCUGGGGUUAGGGGUGAAAAGCCAAUCGAAACAGACAAUAGCGGGUUCCUUCCGAAAUGCAUCUUAGUGCAGCCUGGCCUGAGGUAGAUAAGAGGGUAGAGCUACCAAUUGGAUUGUCAAGGGUCGAAAGGCUCAGCUUUCCUGUUAAACUCCGAAUCUCUUAUCGCCUUAGAAGGCCAAAAGUGAGGGUUCCCGGGUAAGCCGGGGUCCCGAGACGGAAAAAACCGCGACCAGGGUUAAGGUGUUUAAAUAUCAACUAAACGAUGAAAGAUAUCCAAAACCUCAGACAGUUGGGAGGUAGGCUCAGAAACAGCCAUCCUUUAAAGAGUACGUAACAGUUCACCAACCGAGGUUUUAGGUUCUGAAGAUGGAAGACACUAAGUUGAUUACCGAGACCUUGGACUCUGAAAAGAAUGUGGUAGGAAGGCGUCCUUAAUGGGUAGAAAUAGGGUUGUGAAAUCCUGUGGACCGUUGAGGAAUGAAAAUCCUGAUGCGAGUAGCAGCAUAAGUCGGGUUUGAACCCCGACCGUCUUAAGGGCAAGGGUUUGCCAGCAAUGUUGAUCAUCUGGCAGUAAGUCGAUCCUAACUCAAUUCCUAACCGUUUUUGGGGAAAGGGAAAUCGGUUAAUAUUCCGAUACCAUGAAAAUACGCGUGGCAACACAAGUAAAAAUCAGACACUUUGGGAUAGGCGAACGCGAGUCAGCUGUCGAAAUUUGGGGAGAUUCAUCAAGAAGAGAACCAAAAGCAGACAGAAGAGCUUCUCUUAUGGGAAGUUUUGCUGAUUCCUAGAGUCAAUGAAAAUGGUUUUUAAAGGAUUUUUCGUGAUCGUACUCAGAAUCGACACAGAUGCCCUUCUCUGAGAAGGAGAAGACGUCUAGGUUAACUCGGUUCAAGGAAUUAGGCAACAAUAGCCCUGUAUCUUUGGUAUAAGGGGUGCCUGAGGUCCUUCACGGGAUCCCAGGUCGCAGUAACAAGGAGGAGGCGACUGUUUAACAAAUGGAAAAAAUUGUUUUUUUAUCCAGUUAACAAACAUAGGGGACUGCCAGGGAGAAAUCCUUAGUAUAGUCCCUGAGGCCUGCCCAGUGCCGGUGUGUCAAAGUUGGUUUCAACCAACCUAAGCCCCGGUAAACGGCGGCGGUAACUCUGACCGUCGUAAAGUAGCGUAAUCCCUUGUCGAUUAAAUGUCGACCCGCUUGAAUGGCUUAACGAUCUCCUCGCUGUCUCGAACUGAGGCCUAGUGAGACUGUCUUGUGGUGAAUAUACCACAGACCUUCAAUGGGAAACGAAGACCCCGUAGAGCUUUGCUGUAGUCUGGUGCUGUAUUAUGGUUUUGCAUGCAGAGUGUAGGUAGUAGUUGCUAAUGCUUGUCUCUCGGGGCAAGUGGAGACGACAAUGGAACACUACCCUUGUGAAAGCAUAAUGCUCACCGCGACAGUGGGACAAUGCUAGAUGGACAGCUCGGCUGGGGCGGUACUCCGUUGACAAAUGAUCAACGGAGCCCAAAGGUCAGCUCAUCCCGGACAGAAAUUGAGAUAACUUUAUUACACUCUACUCACUAUAUAUGUAUAUGAAGAAAAUAAUUCAACUAGAAGAAUUUCCAGAUACAAUAUAUUUGAGUUUAAGUGACUCUGACCACAAAAAACUUUGGAAAAAUUUGUUAAAAAAUAUAUCGAUAAAACAAGUGGCGGAAGAAUUUAAAAUUCCAGUGAGAAAUUUGUACAAAUACAAAGAAGGCGAUUCUGGUUAUCCUUUAGCAAUACUAAAGAAACUACUCAAAAAAACAAAAAUAAAAAUAAAUCAAGCUAAUAUUAAAACUCAAAGAAACAGUAAUUCGAUGAAAAUAAAAAUUCCAAUUAGAAUCACAGAAAAAUUUACAGAAUUUUUAGGAUAUUUAUUUGGAGAUGGCGGGAUAGACCAUCAAUUUGGAGUUCACUUUACAACAAAUGAUAAAAAGAGUUUAAAUCAGUUUGACAAUUUAGUAAAAGAAGUCUUUGGUGAUAUAGAAAAACAAGAAUAUGAUUAUGGAACAAGAAUAACAUAUUAUUACCCAAAAAUACUAGGAGUUUUAUUGAGUGAAAUUUUCAAAAUUCCUAAAGGUAACAAAGUAGAUUCGGAUAUAGAAAUUCCAGAUGAUAUUUUAAAUUCAAUGAAUUCUAAAAUGAAAAGGUCUUUCAUAACUUCAUUUUAUAUCUGUGAUGGUUGUUCAGAUUAUAUAAGAAUAGUUCAAGGAGGUAAGAAUCUAGAAAAACCACCAAAAAUAUUAACUCAAAUACAAGAAAUGAUUCGAAGUUUUAAUUUUAAUUCUGCCAUAAUAAAACCAUCAUCAAUCUACUUUACAUCCAAAACUAAAAGGAGAAGGUGGGUUUUAAACAUAUCUGAUCAAAACGAAAGAAAAAAAUUUAAAAUUAUAUUUUUACCGAGUUAUCUCAACUGAAUAUCGGGAGUAGAGUGCAAACGCAAAAGCUGGCUUGACUGGAUUCUGCCUAAUAAGGAAUCCAGCCGCGAAAGCGUGGGUUAGCGAUACAUCGUGCCACUCUUAAUGGGUGCCGGUGGUAUCAGAAAAGCUACCUCGGGGAUAAUGGAUCUUAGAGAUCUAACCCGUAAACCGCUAAGAGCUUCACUAGUUUGUUCUGUAAACUAAAUUAGUGACUGGUCUAAAUUCGAAGGAUUUGAGAUCAUAAUUUUAAGGUCUCAGAUCCAUACCCUAAAGAGAGUAAGCUUUAAAAACUCUCCCCUAAAAUGGAGUCGUGGCCUCCGAGAGUUCACAUCGACGAGGCGCAUUGCUUCUCCGCUGUCGGCUCCCCCCCUCCUGGCUGUGCAGAAGCAGCCAAGGGUGCAGGUGUCCACUGAUCAAAGGGGGACGCUAGCUGGGUUCAGAACGUCGUGAGACAGUUCGGUCGCUAUCUAUUGAAGGUGUUGUCUGUCUGAGAGUAAGGAAGCAUAAGUACGAAAGGAACAUGCUCCCGCAGCCUCUGGUGGAUCGGUUGUGAUUGCAUUGCCGAGUAGCUACGCUGUAACGGAUAACCACUGAAAGCAUCUAAGUGGGAAGCCGCACUCAAAAAUAGACAGACGUUCGCAAUGCUGUGCGGCAACGUAUGGUUUUGCGGCGAAGACUCUCAUAGAUUAUGAGGUUGAUAGAGCAGUGGUGUACGCACCAAGAGUUCGCUCGAGGUGUUCAGCCUACUGCUACUAAUCGUUUGAGUGACCUAGAUU